GGAUUGUAGCUCAAUGGUAGAGUGCUUGACUUGCACAUGUGAGGCACUGGGUUCAAUCCUCAGCACCA
rnacentral:tRNA from 1 species